CCUACGGGUGGCAGCAGUCGAGAAUCAUUCACAAUGGGGGAAACCCUGAUGGUGCGACGCCGCGUGGGGGAAUGAAGGUCUUCGGAUUGUAAACCCCUGUCAUGUGGGAGCAAAUGAAAAAGAUAGUACCACAAGAGGAAGAGACGGCUAACUCUGUGCCAGUAGCCGCGGGAAUACAGAGGUCUCAAGCGUUGUUCGGAAUCACUGGGCGUAAAGCGUGCGUAGGCUGUUUCGUAAGUCGUGUGUGAAAGGCGCGGGCUCAACCCGAGGACGGCACAUGAUACUGCGAGACUAGAGUAAUGGAGGGGGAACCGGAAUUCUCGGUGUAGCAGGGAAAUGCGUAGAUAUCGAGAGGAACACUCGUGGCGAAGGCGGGUUCCUGGACAUUAACUGACGCUGAGGCACGAAGGCCAGGGGAGCGAAAGGGAUUAGAUACCCCAGUAGUC
rnacentral:rRNA from 1 species